CGCGGUGGUCAGUUUUUGUUGGUGGAGGACGCACGAUUGCUCGUAAAAUACCACAGAAUUUUUGCAGGAAACUCACAAACCUAAUCAAUUCAGAUUGGAUUCGAACGCACCUGUCACGUACUGGGUUCAAACUCACAACUGCAAUGUUGACAGGCUAGUGGAAAAGUAUUUAACUACUAAGACCACUCAGGUACCGAGACCCCAGUACCAUUUGUAUGGAACGCCAC
rnacentral:lncRNA from 1 species